rnacentral:rRNA from 1 species
CCUACGGGGGGCAGCAGUGGGGAAUAUUGGGCAAUGGAGGAAACUCUUACCCAGCAAUGCCGCGUGAGUGAAGAAGGUCUUCGGAUUGUAAAGCUCUUUGAUUGGGGAUGAAUAAAUGACGGUACCCAAAGAACAAGCCCCGGCUAACUACGUGCCAGCAGCCGCGGUAAUACGUAGGGGGCAAGCGUUGUCCGGAAUGACUGGGCGUAAAGGGUGUGUAGGCGGUUUAUUAAGUUAGAAGUGAAAUACCUAGGGCUUAACACAGGUGCUGCUUCUAAAACUGAUAGACUUGGGUGCAGGAGGGG